CUCAAUCAAUGCAGGCAAAAGCUGCUGCUCUUGCUCCUGUGGUUUUGAGCUUCCAUUAGUCUUGAUGGAGGCCGGAACUGGAGAUACACUGGCCGCCUCUAAUCUAUUUUGAAGAAAUUACUACCACGUCAUGAGUUGAACAGUAGAUACUGGAUUUCCAACACAUGGAAACGUGGCUGUGCUUUUGCAGGAGAUGGGGCUUAUUUUCAUUUCAGUGCUUCAUACGAUAGUGAUGGGAUGUUACGGGUAAUGUGCAGUCAAUACAGUAGUGCAAAGUUUGGACUCAACGUGUGUCUAAAAUUUUGACCACACCGUACGUACUAUUCGUGUUAAUAAUGUCAAUGUAAAGGUUAGAGUCACAUCAAUGACAGCUCUUGGCACCAUUUUACCAUACCCUUAGAAAGCAGACGAAACAAGUUACAUCCCUUGCAAUCCGUGAAUGAAGGAAGCGAAAACAGCAUUAUACCACUGCAUAAUUAACUGUUUUAUUUCAUGAGACACAUUAACUUUACAGACACAUGUUUUGUCACAACACAAUUCCAACAGACUCAUUCAUUCACAUUUUACAUAUAAUAUCAAGUAUAUAGUCCACAUAAUCAUUAUCGUCACACAUUGGAGGUAAGAGGGAAUGGAAGAUGGCCCCGUUCUCCUCCCCUUGUCCCUUUAUUCAUGUGCAUGUUCCCAUUAGACUUUCCUGUCUUUGCAGCACCUGACUUAUUUUAAUUGCAAUUUGAUGAUGGAGGAAUAAAUAAGUGCUGACUGGUCCAUAUUGAGUGGAUGACAGUAGACACUAAAUCAACAAUGUAAAAUGUGUGCACAUGAUAUGGAAUGUCUACUAGGGGGGAGGGAGUAAACACAAAGGAGUUCACAUUCAGAAAUAGGACCAUUUAAUCUGCACUAUACAGUACUGCACCACCACACUGGAAGGAGGGGCUUAAAAGGUGAGGAAGAACUCAUUCCUCCAGGGUUCGGAAAGCAUUCUGCAUGUCCUCCAGCAGCUGGGUGUACUCUGCUUUUAUCUUAGCCUCACCAUCCUUGACAGGGUCCUGGCAGGUACGAGACACAAAACGCAAUUAUGUUUUAAAAACACUAUUUCCCCCACUUCAAAAUGAAUACGCCAUUGAUAAUUUGCAUCAGUAUUUGCAAUAAAAGUGACUGUUGUAAUAAUUUGAUUAGCAUCAGCUACCCUUCUCUUUUCAGUUGCCAUUGUUCACUCGUGACACAGCCCAGGUUUAAGUCCUAAUUAUGCAUCACACUCUUAUUAAACACAUUUGAAGUACUACAAAAUGUAUAGAUACUCUCCAAUAAUGAAUGAUAAUGUAAGAUGAUCAAUCAACAGAUGGAAUUGAAGUCUCUGUGUUGCCUUUGGCCUGGUCAUCAAACUAUAUUUUUACAUUCUAGUCUUCAUUUUCGUAAUUUAGCACUUUAUUCUCAUAUAAUUUCCCCUCACAACAUGUUGACUCAAUUGUUUAAAGAUGGAACAUUAAAGUUGUAAUAAAUUUGUAUGUUUGAUAUUCAGUUUUCCCACAAUUAAUUCUUACUUAAUUCUCUAAACCUUUUUCUCAUGAUCUUAUAAUUAAAAUUAUAUCACAUUGGUGUGUUUGCUAAGAAAGACAAUUGUAAAACUAGAAGUGCUACUUUAGUCAUGACCAACGAUAAACAUACAUACACACCUUAAACUUCAUGGAGCUGAUCUUAUACAAGAUCUCCCCCAUGUGCUCCCUGAUCAUGGCCCAGGUUAUUUUGUUGUCGCUCUGAGCAGUCGACUCCACGGCGUGUCGUGCCAUGUCGUAAAAGGAGAUCAUGUUGGAGAGGAUGCCAACAGUUUUGUAGAAAGGACAAAAUCUGUUGGUAAAGACGGGAGAACAUCACAUGAGGACGUUUUGCUCAAGGUGUUGUGGUACACGGGUUGGUUUUGUCGUCACCUGUCAUACGGGGUGUAACCGUUCUGUUGCAGGAAAUCAUCUUUAAUGAGCUUUGCGACUUCCAGCGUGAUCUUGUCGGUCUCUGCCAGAGAAGCCUGACAAUGAGAUGUACCCAUGAUGACUUUGUCGAGCUUCAGUUAUAUGAGCUUACAUGCUUUUAUUCCUCACCUUUCCUACAAGCUGCACUAUCUCAGCCAGGUCCUCCUCUUCCUGGAGAAUCUCCUUGGCUUUGGUACGAAGAGGCACAAACUCGGGGAAGUGUUUGUCGUAGUAUUCAUCCAGGGCUCUGGUGUACUUGCUAUAACUUAUUAGCCAGUUUACAGAUGGGAAAUGUUUUCUCUGAGCCAACUUCUUGUCCAACCCCCAGAACACCUAAGAGGAAGGGGAAACAGCUCACAUACAAGCAGAAGAAGAGAGUGUAGUAAGGAAUCAUUACUUACCUGAACAAUGCCCAGUGUGGCUGAAGUGACAGGGUCUGAGAAGUCUCCACCAGGGGGCGACACACUGGGAAAAUCAGCAUAUAGAACCUAACACACCUCAUACUCAUGGUUUAUUUUGAAGCAUACUAACUUACGCUCCAACGAUGCUGACGCUGCCUUCUCUCUCGGGAUUCCCUAGGCACUUAACACGUCCGGCUCGCUCGUAGAAAGAGGCCAGCCUAGCGCCCAGGUAGGCCGGGUACCCACUGUCUGCACGCAACAAAAUUUUGACAAGGUUCACAAGUUUGUAUUUUUUUUUGCGUAUAGGCCAGUCGCACUCAGUGUGAACUCACCAGCAGGCAUUUCGGCCAAUCUACCAGAGAUUUCUCUCAGAGCUUCAGCCCAUCGCGAUGUAGAGUCGGCCAUCAUGCUCACGUUGUAACCCAUAUCUCUGAAGUAUUCGGACAGUGUGAUCCCUGCAGACGUGAUCAUGGAGGAAACUAGUAAAGACUUUUAUUAAGCUCUACCUAUUAAACCAGGUAGGGGUAGAGGAUUACUUACAAUAAGUGAAAGCAGACUUAAACAUGAUUUUCUCACUAUCUGAAAUUAAUUCAUACUCAACUUUUUCCUCUAAACAUGUAUUAACAACUAACGGUUAGAGCUCCCUGCAGGAUGACAAAGCAGCCCAGGAACUAGCACUACUACCAAGUCCAAACAACGUCCAAAGUGAAUUUAUAUCUGCAUGGUGGUAAUGGUCUUCUUCUUGCAGGUGGCGGAAGUCCAGUGGCAACCAACUUUGAGGUGCAUUGCUGCACCUAGCAAGUUAGUGUGUAGCACUUACAAACGUUACAAACAUGAUUUGGUAACGGGAUCAGCCGAUCUCGUGGCGGAAGCUGACAUUGUCUGACCUUCAAAAAUACAGCGAAUUGGACCCCAAUCCGGAAGAUCAGAUUGGGACAUCCCUAUUCUGUAUAUAUUAGAACUGGAACAUAUGACUAUUCGAUGGUUAAUCAAUUACCAAAUUCAUUCAUUCAUUCAUUCAUUUUCUAACGCUUAUCCUCAUGAGAGUCGCGGGGGUGCUGGAGCCUAUCCCAGCUGUCUUCAGGCAAGAGGCGGGGUACACCCUGGACUGGUCGCCAGCCAAUCACAGGGCCAAUUACCAAAUUAAUCAACUAUUUUGAUAAUCGUUUUUUCAUUGUGUUUUUCAAAUGUUUAAAUAUCCUCAAAUUUCAGCCUCUUAAAUGUGAAUAUUUAAAAACUUCCUUAGUACCUGUAUAGAUAGAAGCCUCUCUAGCAGCCACAGGCAUGUUGGAUGUGUUAGCAACGAGUGCCGUUCUCUUCAUAAUGCUCUCUACCUUGCCAUCAACUUCCAUAGUGAGCUGUAGGGAAAAGGUAGUGCGAUUAGCAACAGUUUAAAUUACCACCUUCAUUUGCCCAAAUGCUGUUGUUGUUCCACCAACCUCUGGGAAAUCUCGCAGCACCUCGGACAUUUCAUUCCCACGCUCUCCGCAUCCAACAUAGAUGAUGACAUCACUGUUAGAGUACUUAGACAAUGACUGGGAGAUAACAGUCUUUCCACAUCCAAAGGCGCCAGGGAUAGCUGUGGUGCCACCUUGCACGCAGCUAUGAAUCAAACACAGCAGUUGCUUUAAAAGCAAGCAAAUUUAAAAGACAUGUUAGCAGGUAUCUUUAUAGAGAAAUCCUCACGGGAAAAGAGCGUCCAGAACUCUCUGGCCAGUGAGCAGUGGAUGAUUGGCAGGCAGCUUCUCUGUCACUGGGCGGACUUGGCGCACCGGCCACACCUGCACCAUGGUAAACUUCUCCUUGAUGCCUUCAAAAUCCAGCUCUAGAACCACAUCCUGAGUACAACAUGGGCAGAAACUCUCUGUAGUUAAUUAAUAACCGCUAUACUUUAGCUAUUCAGUUUGCAAACACUCACAGAGACAUCAUAGUUUCCGGAUGGAGCUACAUAGGUGACGGUGCCUCUGCUGCGAGGUGGUAGCAUCAGCUUGUGCUUUAUGAGGGAGUUUUCGUACACCAUGCCGUAGAUGUCGCCACCUGUAACGUGACUGCCAACCUACAAGGAAGAAAAAAUAGCUUCUGAGCAGCUGGAGCGCUAGUACAGUAGAUAGGCAAUUUCCUUCAUUACCCUGCAAAUUUGCAAAUUAUAGGUCUAACUUAAAAAAAGUUCUCAAAUAUAGAGUGUCAUUUUAACAGGGUACAACAGCCACACUUUUCUUACCCGCAGACUCUGGUUAGGAUUAAACUCCCAUUUGAUGUCUCUGUUCAGGGCACCGAUGUUCACUCCUCUUGGGAUGUAGAUACUUUGCGUGAUGUCAUUGAUGUCUUUCAGUGGACGCUGGAUGCCGUCAAAGAUUGAGCCCAUGACUCCUGGUCCCAACUCUACAGAGAGGGGUUUUCCUGUGCGAAGAACUGGGUCACCCACGGACACGCCAGCUGUUGCAAUGCCAGUAAACCAUACCUGGUCCAGAAACUCCAUGGACAUAUCCAAACUGGCUUUCUCGCUCUGCAUCCUGGAUCUUUGGAAGUUUUGAGGUAUCCAUCUUGACAGCUCUUCAACUGAAAAAUCCAUUGAGAGGAGCAAAGCUGAUCUGUACGUGUACACGUACAAGUCAGGUGACCAGCUAGCAACGACAUGCUAACGUCAUCACUGCAACAAACGACUAAAUCGCCAUUAUGUUCAAAACAGUUGACUCACCAGUAGGACGUAAUGGAAAUAAUAAAAAAAUAUCCUCAGACAUACAUCCUACCUCGCAAAGAUGUACAAUUAUCCAGGUUGUUACUCGCGUCUUGGAUGAAGCGAGAAGCUUUGCUGUGCUAAUCACCUGCCAGGCACCGGACUAUCACGGGAAGAACAUGUCGCCAUUCUGGCUCAGACUGCCGCUUCGGUGCUGCGAUCAGUGAGCCAACAUGGCGGCUAAUGCGCCACAGUUGCUGAGUCGACGGUGGACACUUGGCUCCAUUAGAUACUACGCUGCUGACACCUGCUGGACAUCUUUGCUAAUUUCACCCGAGUCAAGCACCUGAAUGACUUUUACGUGUGUUUACGUGUGUUCUAAUCAACAAUUAGAAUAAAUUUCACAAAUGUGUCAUUGAAAAUAUAUAGUUAGUAAUGAUAUCGUAUAGUAAUUCUAUAUUUGGACUCUUUUGGUGUUCUUUUACCGUUCCAUAAUUCAGCUCUGCAACUGAAUGUUGUCAUUACGGUAUUUAAUGUGACUUUCAAA